rnacentral:lncRNA from 1 species
UCGGAUUAAAUUCUAGAGUAUCUUUAUACUCUUUCCCUUUAAUUACGGGGUAUAUAUAUGGAUCAGAUUAGUAGGGAUUGAAGAUGGACACCCAUUGCCCCUCGGCUCAUUGUCCUACAGCAGCACCAUGAGUUGUUGCAUAAUGAUGUCUCGUGGUCGAUCAAUCGAAACAAUCACUAAUGCAAGAUGUUUUGCUUAUGGAAAGCAGCAAAAGAUGGGAUGAUUAGCCGUCGCUUGUGAAUUCUUGUUCUUAGGUGUAUGGUUGGGUGUACAGAGAGACCAUUUUGUCUCCUUCUUUAUGACUUUGACGAUCACCGGGGAGAUGAGAUGAUUUGCUCGACUCUGCUGUGAUGAAAGAGGUGGUCAUGCUUGAUCAGCAUGGAUGGAUCUUUUCAUGGUAUGCAUUACUGUGUCAGUGUCCGAGACAAGCAUGCAUAUAGCGUGAAUAUAUGCACACUGCUUGAGAAUACUGUAUACCUUAGCUUUCUUAUUGUAUUGCUCCAAUAACACAACAGGACAAUCUUCUAUAGCUUCCAGAAACACAACUAAGAAAGGAUAGGAAAGAGAUGAGAAAUCUGACUGCUGAGAGAUUUGAACUGUUUUGUUGCUAACAGCAUAGAACUAAAUAAGAAGAAGAUGCAAAGAACUCGGACAUGUCAACGAUCGACAAAAAGAAACAUUAUUAUGUCACAUUUGCUCCACAGCAGAAAUUUUAUUUUUUGGGUUUGCUUGAAUGACAAUAAUCAGCAAGAUUUCAGCAGAAACUGAUUAACUAUUGUCAUAUAAAUACUAAUUUACCCCCCAUAAAGGCCGGCAACAAUAGCUGAUCCUCUCUUAGCAUCAUGCAAGCACUGCUGUCGAUGAUCUUAAUGGCUGUUCACUGCUUGUAGCAAGAACCAGGGUCCAAUGGAGCAGUUCUGCCAGGUCCUGCUACCGGCGCAGCAGCAACCCCGCUUUGGUUGAGCAAGCAGCAAUCCCUCGAACGACGUCCGCCCGUGAUCCCGGGUGAUCACGGGUGGCAGGAUCCCUCGAACGACGUCCGCCCGUGAUCCCGAGUGAUCACGGGUGGCAGGAUCCCUCGACCCGGGUGGCAGGUCCCGUGAUCAACGU